rnacentral:rRNA from 1 species
AGCUCCAGUAGCGUAUAUUAAAGUUGUUGCAGUUAAAAAGCUCGUAGUUGGAUUUCUGCUUGUAGCGUUGGGCCCGCCCGGGUUACCGGUGUGUGUGCCUGUUCGCUCCUUGCAUCCUUCUAGAGAACGGUUCUCUCCUUCAUUGGCUGUGGGAUCGCAAUCUAGAUCUUUUACUUUGAAAAAAUUAGAGUGUUUAAAGCAGGCUUGUGCUAUGAAUACAUUAGCAUGGAAUAAUAAUUUAGGACUUUAGUUCUAUUUUGUUGGUUUCUAGAACUGAAGUAAUGAUUGAUAGGGAUAGUUGGGGGUGCUAGUAUUCAGCGGCCAGAGGUGAAAUUCUUGGAUUCGCUGAAGACUAACUUAUGCGAAAGCAUUCACCAAGGAUGUCUUCUUUA